rnacentral:rRNA from 1 species
CCAAUAGCGUAUAUUAAGGUUGUUGCAGUUAAAAAGCUCGUAAUUGAAUUUCGGGAUUUAUCCGUUGGUCGGGCUUUUGGGUCUGUACUGGCGUGAUGGAUUCCUACCUUCUGAAUAACCGGCAUGUCAUUAAUUUGGUGCGCUGGGGAAGCAGGACUGUUACCUUGAAAAAAUUAGAGUGCUUAAAGCAGGCUAUUGCCUGAAUACAUUAGCAUGGAAUAAUGAAAUAGGACGGCAUGGUUCUAUUUUGUUGGUUUCUAGGAUCACCGUAAUGAUUAAUAGGGUUAGUUGGGGGCAUUAGUAUUCAAUUGGCAGAGGUGAAAUUCUUGGAUUUAUGGAAGACUAACUUCUGCGAAAGCAUUUGCCAAGGAUGUUUUCAUUAAUCAAGAACGAAAGUUAGGGGAUCGAAGACGAUCAGAUACCGUCGUAGUCUUCACCAUAAACUAUGCCGACUAGGGAUCGGACGAUGUUAAUUUUUUAAUGACUCGUUCGGCGCCUUACG